rnacentral:rRNA from 1 species
UACGUAGGGUGCAAGCGUUGUCCGGAAUUAUUGGGCGUAAAGAGCUCGUAGGCGGUCUGUCGCGUCUGCUGUGAAAACUCGGGGCUUAACCCCGGGCCUGCAGUGGGUACGGGGCAGACUAGAGUGCGGUAGGGGAGACUGGAAUUCCUGGUGUAGCGGUGAAAUGCGCAGAUAUCAGGAGGAACACCGGUGGCGAAGGCGGGUCUCUGGGCAACAACUGACGCUGAGGAGCGAAAGCGUGGGGAGCGAACAGG